CCCAUAUCUACCUUGUUAUUAUGUGCGAUGUUGCUAAUUCUAAAGUAGUGAUAGUCCAAGUUACGUUUUUUUUGAGGGACUAUUUUAGUCUCAGAACAGGACAUGUAUCACUCCGCCCAGAAUGAAUUGUUUAAGGUUAAGGAGAACCCCAGGAUGCUUUCCCUCCAUGGAGGUGGCUCCAUCCAACAAGGAGAAGGUGCCCUUGUUCCAUUUGCCCUCCCUUUUGCCCCUUUGACCCACAAACGCUGCAGGAUUAAAAUGUAAGUACAUAAUAUUCUGGUUUCGCGCUACCGUGCCUGAUUACAAGAAGCAAUCACAACCCAAAAACGCUAACCAAAGCUCAUUUGGGCCAAAGCUCAUUUAAAUAGACUGAAGGAAUGUGUUCUGUGGACAAAGACAAGAGCAAAACAAAACAGAGCCAUGUGCUACAGAGCACAUGGCUAGGAACACAAGCAGAGUAAGGAAAGCAAGAACACAAGACAAGAACAGAAAGAACCAAGAAAAGAGGAAACAUAACAAACAUAGGCUAGGUGUAAAACCAUCAUAGCAGCAUGGCUUUACUCUAAAUUGCUACAGGUCAAAUAGCUUAAACUCAAUGGUCUACAUUUGUAGAUAACUUUUUAGUUGGCACUGUCAAGCAAAUUUCAUUUAUUCUAAAAAGUCUUUGACAUUGCUGUGAGUAUAUGAUUUCAUUUUGC
rnacentral:lncRNA from 1 species